rnacentral:rRNA from 1 species
GUGCCAGCCGCCGCGGUAAUACGUAGGGGCAAGCGUUGUCCGGAAUUAUUGGGCGUAAAGCGCGCGCAGGCGGUGCGUUAAGUUUGGUGUUUAAGACUGGGGCUCAACCCUGGAACGCACCGAAAACUGGCGGACUGGAGUGCAGGAGAGGAAAGUGGAAUUCCACGUGUAGCGGUGAAAUGCGUAGAGAUGUGGAGGAACACCAGUGGCGAAGGCGACUUUCUGGCCUGUAACUGACGCUGAGGCGCGAAAGCGUGGGAGCAAACAGGAUUAGAUACCCUGGUAGUCCACGCCGUAAACGAUGAGUGCUAGGUGUUA